rnacentral:lncRNA from 1 species
GGCGCCCCGAUGACGUCACCCGCGAAGUCCCGCCUCUUCCGCCUGCCUCGUCUGCAGCUUUCCCGGCUUGCUGCACCCACUCCACAGAGGUGCGACCCAGGAGAGAAAGGAAGAAGGUCUACAUUCCUCGAAACUCAUCCAGCACAAUUCAUUGACCAUACUGAAUAAGGACAUGAGCAUAAAGCUUGAGAAGGAAGGUAGCAGUUGCUUUCAAGGGCAUUUUACUCUUCGCAUCUGCCAUAAGAAAUACUGGAGAAAACAACUUAUGGACAUAAGACUUCAUCAGCUCUCCUAACCCUUUUCGGUAGACAAGCUCUUAAAUGAUCGAAAUUAUAGGCUAAGACCAAAUAACAUUUAGACAAAGAGCACCUGAUACUUCCAACUGAAAACAAUUUACAGAAUUUAAUCUCAUGAGUUUAUAAUUGGUAUCUAAAGACGUGAAUAUUGAAAACCUGGAAUGUUCAAAGUUACUAUCAAUAAAAUU